rnacentral:rRNA from 1 species
UGGUGGAGUGAUUUGUCUGCUUAAUUGCGAUAACGAACGAGACCUUAACCUGCUAAAUAGCCAGGCCCGCUUUGGCGGGUCGCCGGCUUCUUAGAGGGACUAUCGGCUCAAGCCGAUGGAAGUUUGAGGCAAUAACA